rnacentral:rRNA from 1 species
UACGGGGGGGGCAAGCGUUGUUCGGAAUUACUGGGCGUAAAGGGCUCGUAGGCGGCCAACUAAGUCAGACGUGAAAUCCCUCGGCUUAACCGGGGAACUGCGUCUGAUACUGGAUGGCUUGAGGUUGGGAGAGGGAUGCGGAAUUCCUGGUGUAGCGGUGAAAUGCGCAGAUAUCAGGAGGAACACCGGUGGCGAAGGCGGGUCUCUGGGCAACAACUGACGCUGAGGAGCGAAAGCGUGGGGAGCGAACAGG